rnacentral:rRNA from 1 species
UUCCGGUUGAUCCUGCCGGAGGCGACCGCUUUGGGAGUUCGAUUAAGCCAUGCGAGUCGUGAGUCUUAGGGACUCGGCAUACUGCUCAGUAACACGUGGAUAACCUGCCCUAUCGUCUGGAAUAACCUCGGGAAACUGAGAAUAAGGCCGGAUAGUUCACAAUGCCUGGAACGGUUUGUGAAUCAAGGUAGGAUGGGUCUGCGGCGUAUCAGGUUGUAGGGGGUGUAAAGGACCCCCUAGCCUUCGACGCGUACGGGUGUUGGGAGACAUAGCCCGGAGAUGGAUUCUGAGACACGAAUCCAGACCCUACGGGGUGCAGCAGGCGCGAAAACUUCACACUGCAGGAAACUGUGAUGAGGGAACUCCUAGUGCAUGCACUAUGUGUAUGUAGAUCCUACUCUUAACAAGUAGAGGGAAAGGGCUGGGAAAGACCGGUGCCAGCCGCCGCGGUAAUACCGGCAGCUCAAGUGGUCGUCGCUUUUAUUGGGCCUAAAACGUCCGUAGCCUGUUUGGUAAAUCUGUGGGUAAAUCAAUCCGCUCAACGGAUUGAAUUCUGCASAGACUGCCAGACUAGGGACCGGGAGAGGUGUGGGGUACUCGAGGGGUAGGGGUAAAAUCCUGUCAUCCUUCGAGGACCACCAGUUGCGAAGGCGCCACACUGGAACGGAUCCGACGGUCAGGGACGAAGCCUAGGGGCACGAACCGGAUUAGAUACCCGGGUAGUCCUAGGUGUAAACGCUGUGGACUUGGUGUCGGGGGUCCGCAAGGGGUCCCCGGUGCCGGAGUGAAGAUGUUAAGUUCACUGCCUGGGGAGUACGGUCGCAAGGCUGAAACUUAAAGGAAUUGGCGGGGCAGCAC